UUUAAAAGAACGAUAGAAACUAGAUUGAGCCGAGAUACAAAAGUGGAGGACCUGGCGCGCAAAUAACCCUCCCCAUGCCAAAACUCGCGGAUCUAGCCGCGGUUGGAUCGGGUCAUCAGGUACGGGCCCUGCAAUCAAUACGGCGCCGUUUCUUUCCCGGCAUUAAACUAAAAAAACUAAACCUAAGUAACCCUAAACCAUUCCUCCUUUUUGCGCCGCAUCAAAAAAACGAAAGCCCCCCUAUUUGCGCCGCUUCAAUCAGCCAAAGUUCCGCCCAACUCCGAUCCGAACGGAGUGAACGAAGCUUCCACGGCGUCUUGGCGAAGGCGUACAGAGGCCGUACGGGGGCCAGUUGGGACGUGGCGCGGCUCGUGUGAGGCAUUGCGCGUGGUGGGCACGUGAGGAGGCGUGCGGCGCUGGGGCUGAGUAGAGGCAGGAGCGGCGUUGUAAGCUAUCAGAAACCCUAGGGUUUCUGUUUUCGUUUUGGGCUUCAAUACAAUUGGGCCGGAGUAUUUGGGUUUGUAACCGGGUUUGGAGAUUGGGCUAAUUAGGCUUAGGUUAGGUUUGGGCUAGGGUUUGGGUCUGGUGUUGGGUUUCUCGGGUUUGGGUAUUGUAUUGGGUAUUAGAUUAAAACGAUUUGGGCCAUGCUGGGCCCAUGUAUUUGGACUUUGGACUUUUAAAUGUUGAUUUGGUUUAUAUUUUUUUGA